ensembl:lncRNA
AAAAGAGGGGAGUAGAGAGAGAGAGGGGAGUAGAGAGAGAGCGGAGUAAAGAGAGAGAGAGAGCGAGGGGAGUAGAGAGGGGAGUAGAGAAAGAGAGGGGAGUAGAGAGAGAGAGAGGGAAGUACAGAGAGAGAGGGGAAGAGAGGGGAGUAGAGAAAGAGAGGGGAGUAGAGAGAGAGAGAGAGGGAGUAGAGAGAGAGAGGGAGGAGAGAGAGGGGAGAGAGAGAGAGAGGGGAGUAGAGAGAGAGAGAGAGAGAGAGAGGGGAGAGAGCGAGAGGAGUAGAGAGAGCGAGGGGAGUAAAGAAAAAGAGGAGGAGAGAGAGCGAGGGGAGUAGAGAGAGAGAGAGAGAGGGGAGGAGAGAGGGGAGUAGAGAGAGAGCGGGGAGGAGAGAGAGAGCAAGAGAGAGAGAGAGAGGGGAGGAGAGAGGGGAGUAGAGAGAGAGAGGAGUAGAGAGAGCGAGAGGGAAGGGAGUAAAGAGAGAGAGAGAGAGGGGAGUAGAGAGAGAGAGGGAGUAGACAGAGAGAGGGAGUAGAGAGAGAGGGGAGUAGAGAGAGAGGGGAGUAGAGAGAGAGAGGAGUAGAGAGAGAGAGAGAGAGAGAGAGGUAGAGAGAGCGAGGGGAGUAGAGAGAGAGAGGGAGUAGAGAGAGAGAGGGGAGUAGAGAGAGGGAGAGGGGAGUAGAGAGAGCAAGAGAGAGGGGAGUAGAGAGAGGGGAGGAGAGUGAGAGAGAAGGGAGUAGAGAGAAAGAGAUGGGAGUAGAGAGAGAGAGGGGAGUAGAGAGAGAGAGGGAGAAAUGGGAGUAGAGAGCGGGGGAAGAGGGG